rnacentral:pre_miRNA from 1 species
AAAUCCUGCAUUUAUCUGACAUCUCACAUUAUUGAGGAUAUAAACUAAAUAAAGAAAUAUCAUCGAUCAUGUGAGCUGUUAGAUUAUCAGAUUU